GAGUUUGAUCCUGGCUCAGGACGAACGCUGGCGGUGUGCUUAACACAUGCAAGUCAACGAGAAUUUAUCUUCGGAUAAUAGUAAAGUGGCGAACGGGUGAGUAACGCGUAAAUAACUUGCCUUGGAGAUUGGGACAACAUUGGGAAACCAGUGCUAAUACCAAAUAAUGCAGCGGGCCCUUCGGGGCAUAGUUGUUAAAGUAGGCUUCGGCUUACACUUCAAGAUAGAUUUGCGUCCGAUUAGUUAGUUGGUAGGGUAAUAGCCUACCAAGACCGAGAUCGGUAGCUGGUCUGAGAGGAUGAUCAGCCACACUGGAAUUGAGAUACGGUCCAGACUCCUACGGGAGGCAGCAGUGAGGAAUUUUGCACAAUGGGCGAAAGCCUGAUGCAGCAACACCGCGUGAUUGAUGAAGUUUUUAGGAAUGUAAAAAUCUGUCGUAAGGGAAGAAAUGUUUCGGAUGUUAAUACCAUCUGUCAUUGACGGUACCUUACAAGAAAGGACCGGCUAACUUCGUGCCAGCGGCCGCGGUAAUACGAGGGGUCCUAGCGUUGUCCGGAUUUACUGGGCGUAAAGGGUACGUAGGCGUUUUAAUAAGUUGUAUGUUAAAUAUCUUAGCUUAACUAAGAAACUGCAUACAAAACUGUUAAGAUAGAGUUUGAGAGAGGAACGCAGAAUUCAUGGGAGCGGUGACAUGCGUAGAUAUCAUGAGGAAAGUCAAAUGCGAAGGCAGCCUUCUGGCUCAAAACUGACGCUGAGGUACGAGAGCGUGGGGAGCGAACAGGAUUAGAUACCCUGGUAGUCCACGCCGUAAGCGAUGAGUAUUUGGUGCUGGGGGAUUCGACCCUUUCAGUGCCGUAGCUAACGCGAUAAAUACUCCGCCUGGGGACUACGAUCGCAAGAUUGAAACUCAAAGGAAUUGACGGGGACCCGCACAAGCGGUGGAACAUGUGGUUUAAUUCGAUGAUACGCGAAGAACCUUACCUGGGUUUGACAUGUAGGAGAAAGUUUUCCGGAAGGAAAUCCCUUUAAUGAUUUAUUAUUAAACUCUUUCACAGGUGAUGCAUGGCUGUCGUCAGCUCGUGUCGUGAGAUGUUAGGUUAAGUCCUGCAACGAGCGCAACCCCUUUAUUUAGUUGCCAGCACAUAAUGGUGGGGACUCUAAAUAGACUGCCCGGAAUAACCGGGAGGAAGGUGGGGAUGAUGUCAAGUCAGUAUGUCCCUUAUACCCAGGGCUACACACGUGUUACAAUGGAUAGUACAAAAAGUAGCAAUUCCGCGAGGAGGAGCCAAUCUUUAAAACUAUCCCCAGUUCAGAUCGAAGUCUGAAAUUCGACUUCAUGAAGCAGGAAUCGCUAGUAAUCGUAGGUCAGCAUACUACGGUGAAUACGUUCCCGGGUCUUGCACUCACCGCCCGUC
rnacentral:rRNA from 1 species